CAGCUGGCAGACUCUUCCCACCAGCACUUCCGUUAGCAUACAUAAUUGGAAUGUACUGAAGUCCUUACCAACUGGAAAAAUAAUCCUGAAAUGGGCCAAAUUACGAGAAAUGCAGCUAAAAGAAACCAAUUGGUGCUUAAAAUAUUUUGCCUGAAAAUCUUCUUAGCCACAGCCACAAGUCCACAAGAGAGAAGAUGACGCUUGACAAAAACCUGGUCCAUAAAAAUAAACAAAGGACAGCCCAGAGAAUUGUAGAAGGAAGA